rnacentral:rRNA from 1 species
AUUGAACGCUGGCGGCAGGCCUAACACAUGCAAGUCGAACGAGUGGCGGACGGGUGAGUAAUGACUUGGACACUGCCUGAUGGAGGGGGAUAACUAAUGGAAACGGUAGCUGAUACCGCAUACCAUCAGAUGUGCCCAGAUGGGAGUCGCUUGUUGGGGGGGUAACGGCUCACCAAGGCGCCGAUCCCUAGCUGGUCUGAGAGGAUGACCAGCCACCAUGGAACUGAGACACGGUCCAGACUCCUACGGGAUGCAGCAGUUGGGAAUAGUGCACAAUGGGCGCAAGCCUGAUUCAGCCAUGCCGGGUGUAGGAAGAAGGCCUUCGGGUUGUAAAGUACUUUCAGCGGGGAGGCGUUACCCGCAGAAGAAGGACCGGCUAACUCCGGGCCAACAGCCGCGGUAAUAC